AUCGAAAGCUUGCUUUUGAUGGGCGUCGACCGGCGCACGGGUGAGUAACGCGUAUCCAACCUGCCCACCACUUGGGGAUAACCUUGCGAAAGUAAGACUAAUACCCAAUGACGUCUCUAGAAGACAUCUGAAGGAGAUUAAAGAUUUAUCGGUGAUGGAUGGGGAUGCGUCUGAUUAGCUUGUUGGCGGGGUAACGGCCCACCAAGGCUACGAUCAGUAGGGGUUCUGAGAGGAAGGUCCCCCACAUUGGAACUGAGACACGGUCCAAACUCCUACGGGAGGCAGCAGUGAGGAAUAUUGGUCAAUGGACGAGAGUCUGAACCAGCCAAGUAGCGUGCAGGAUGACGGCCCUAUGGGUUGUAAACUGCUUUUAUAAGGGAAUAAAGUGAGUCUCGUGAGACUUUUUGCAUGUACCUUAUGAAUAAGGACCGGCUAAUUCCGUGCCAGCAGCCGCGGUAAUACGGAAGGUCCGGGCGUUAUCCGGAUUUAUUGGGUUUAAAGGGAGCGUAGGCCGGAGAUUAAGCGUGUUGUGAAAUGUAGAUGCUCAACAUCUGAACUGCAGCGCGAACUGGUUUCCUUGAGUACGCACAAAGUGGGCGGAAUUCGUGGUGUAGCGGUGAAAUGCUUAGAUAUCACGAAGAACUCCGAUUGCGAAGGCAGCUCACUGGAGCGCAACUGACGCUGAAGCUCGAAAGUGCGGGUAUCGAACAGGAUUAGAUACCCUGGUAGUCCGCACGGUAAACGAUGGAUGCCCGCUGUUGGUCUGAAUAGGUCAGCGGCC
rnacentral:rRNA from 1 species